GUAAUCCGGGUUGCGGACAGUGUCUGGUGGGUAGUUUGACUGGGGCGGUCUCCUCCUAAAGAGUAACGGAGGAGCACGAAGGUUGGCUAAUCCUGGUCGGACAUCAGGAGGUUAGUGCAAUGGCAUAAGCCAGCUUGACUGCGAGCGUGACGGCGCGAGCAGGUGCGAAAGCAGGUCAUAGUGAUCCGGUGGUUCUGAAUGGAAGGGCCAUCGCUCAACGGAUAAAAGGUACUCCGGGGAUAACAGGCUGAUACCGCCCAAGAGUUCAUAUCGACGGCGGUGUUUGGCACCUCGAUGUCGGCUCAUCACAUCCUGGGGCUGAAGUAGGUCCCAAGGGUAUGGCUGUUCGCCAUUUAAAGUGGUACGCGAGCUGGGUUUAGAACGUCGUGAGACAGUUCGGUCCCUAUCUGCCGUGGGCGCUGGAGAACUGAGGGGGGCUGCUCCUAGUACGAGAGGACCGGAGUGGACGCAUCACUGGUGUUCGGGUUGUCAUGCCAAUGGCACUGCCCGGUAGCUAAAUGCGGAAGAGAUAAGUGCUGAAAGCAUCUAAGCACGAAACUUGCCCCGA
rnacentral:rRNA from 1 species